rnacentral:rRNA from 1 species
ACGCUCGACACCUACGGGAGCAGCAGUGAGGAAUAUUGGUCAAUGGGCGCAGGCCUGAACCAGCCAAGUAGCGUGAAGGAUGACUGCCCUAUGGGUUGUAAACUUCUUUUAUAUGGGAAUAAAGUUUUCCACGUGUGGAAUUUUGUAUGUACCAUAUGAAUAAGGAUCGGCUAACUCCGUGCCAGCAGCCGCGGUAAUCUGAGGCGGGCUGGCGAAGGC